rnacentral:rRNA from 1 species
AUUGAACGCUGGCGGCAGGCUUAACACAUGCAAGUCGAGCGGAGAUGAGGUGCUUGCACCUCAUCUUAGCGGCGGACGGGUGAGUAAUGCUUAGGAAUCUGCCUAUUAGUGGGGGACAACAUUCCGAAAGGAAUGCUAAUACCGCAUACGUCCUACGGGAGAAAGCAGGGGAUCUUCGGACCUUGCGCUAAUAGAUGAGCCUAAGUCGGAUUAGCUAGUUGGUGGGGUAAAGGCCUACCAAGGCGACGAUCUGUAGCGGGUCUGAGAGGAGGAUCCGCCACACUGGGACUGAGACACGGCCCAGACUCCUACGGGAGGCAGCAGUGGGGAAUAUUGGACAAUGGGGGGAACCCUGAUCCAGCCAUGCCGCGUGUGUGAAGAAGGCCUUAUGGUUGUAAAGCACUUUAAGCGAGGAGGAGGCUACUGAGACUAAUACUCUUGGAUAGUGGACGUUACUCGCAGAAUAAGCACCGGCUAACUCUGUGCCAGCCGCCGCCGUAAAAC